rnacentral:tRNA from 1 species
UCGGUAGACGCUACGGACUUAAAAUUUGAGCCUUAGUAGAGAAAUUUACUAAGUGACUGUUUUCACAUUCAGGGAAACCUAAACUUUGAGGUAUGAGGUAAUCCUGAGCCAAAUUUUAGUUAUGAAAUAGGUGCAGAGACUCGAAGGAAACUAUCCUAACGAAAAAUUUUUCUCUAUUUUUUUAUUACGAGUAUUGAUUCAGUGUACAGUAUAAAAUAUUCGAAAUAAUAAAAACAUCUAAAUAUUUAAUAUUCAUAUUCGUUUUUAAAUAAGCUAUAAUAGACGAGGGUAAAGAUAGAGUCCUUUUUUACAAUCUAUAUAAUUUUUAUUUAUAGAUAGUUGUAAAAAGAAAAUCCGUUGGCUUUAAUAGACCUUGAGGGUUCAAGUCCC